AUGGCCGCGGCGGCUCUCACCCUCCUCCUGCUGGUCCUCCUCCCGGCGGGCCGUGCUCUCGCCACGGCGGCCGGCGACGCGCACCCGGGCUACGCGGGCGCGGAGGCCGACACCUGCGAGCCGGCGCCCGGCGGCGCUCCCCCCUACGGAGGAGGCGCGGCAGGCCGGCGCCACGGCCCGGCGCUGGAGGAGUACGGGGGCGGGCACAUCGUGGACAUCACGCACGCGUACCGCCCCAGCAUGCCGGCGUUCGCGCCCGGCGCGACCGUCGGCCCCCUCGUGCGGCUCAAGGCGUCCAUGGAGGACGGGUCGGAGUACAACCUGUCGGAGCUCCGGAUGGAGUGCCACAUGGGCACCCACGUCGACGCGCCGGGCCACAUGAACCAGGCCCACUUCGCCGCCGGCCUCGACGUCGACACGCUCGACCUGGAUGUCCUCAACGGUCCUGCCUUACUGGUCGAUGUUCCAAGACACACAAAUAUAACAGCUGAAUCCAUGAAAUCCCUAAAUAUACCGAAAGGUGUUCGUCGCGUUCUCUUCAGGACAUUGAACACAGACAGGGGGCUCAUGUGGAAGGCAGCUGGUGAUAUGAGUUAUGUUGGAUUUACAGAGGAUGGUGCACAGUGGUUAGUUGACAACACGGACAUCAAGCUAGUUGGGAUUGACUAUAUAUCAGUUGCUGCGUUUGAUCACUUGAUCUCUGCCCAUGUGGCCUUCUUCAAAAAUGCGGAUAUCAUCCUAGUCGAAGCCCUGAAACUAGACAACGUGAAGACUGGACUAUACAUGCUGCACUGCUUACCUCUGAGACUGGUUGGCUCUGAGGGCUCACCAAUUAGGUGCAUUCUUAUCAAGUGA
rnacentral:rRNA from 1 species